GACGAACGCUGGCGGUGUGCCUAACACAUGCAAGUCGAGCGAGCGGUUGGGGUGCUUGCACUCCUAACUUGCGAGCGGCGGACGGGUGCGUAACACGUAGGAACCUGCCCCGAACGUGGGGGACGAACGGCUGGAAACGGCCGCUAAACCCGCAUGAGCUCGGCUUCGGUCGAGGAAAACUUUGGUGCUUCGGGAGGGGCCGUGCGACCUAUCAGGUAGUUGGUGGGGUAACGGCCUACCAAGCCUACGAC
rnacentral:rRNA from 1 species